CUGAGGAUUGGUGCUUGCACUAAUCCAAGGAGUUGCGAACGGGUGAGUAACGCGUAGGUAACCUACCUCAUAGCGGGGGAUAACUAUUGGAAACGAUAGCUAAUACCGCAUGACACUAGAGUACACAUGUACUCAAGUUAAAAGGAGCAAUUGCUUCACUAUGAGAUGGACCUGCGUUGUAUUAGCUAGUUGGUGAGGUAAAGGCUCACCAAGGCGACGAUACAUAGCCGACCUGAGAGGGUGAUCGGCCACACUGGGACUGAGACACGGCCCAGACUCCUACGGGAGGCAGCAGUAGGGAAUCUUCGGCAAUGGACGGAAGUCUGACCGAGCAACGCCGCGUGAGUGAAGAAGGUUUUCGGAUCGUAAAGCUCUGUUGUUAGAGAAGAACGGUAAUGGGAGUGGAAAAUCCAUUACGUGACGGUAACUAACCAGAAAGGGACGGCUAACUACGUGCCAGCAGCCGCGGUAAUACGUAGGUCUCGAGCGUUGUCCGGAUUUAUUGGGCGUAAAGCGAGCGCAGGCGGUUCUAUAAGUCUGAAGUAAAAGGCAGUGGCUCAACCAUUGUAUGCUUUGGAAACUGUAGAACUUGAGUGCAGAAGGGGAGAGUGGAAUUCCAUGUGUAGCGGUGAAAUGCGUAGAUAUAUGGAGGAACACCGGUGGCGAAAGCGGCUCUCUGGUCUGUAACUGACGCUG
rnacentral:rRNA from 1 species